rnacentral:RNase_P_RNA from 1 species
GAAGCGGGUCAGACGAUCGCGCGACCCGGGGCUUUCCGGGCGUGAGGAAAGUCCGGGCUCCAAAGGGCUGGAUGCCGGCUAACGGCCGGGCGGAGUGAUUCGACGGAAAGCGCCGCAGAAAAGAAGACUCCCACUGGCGGGCAACCGUUAAGGGAAAAGCUGAAACGGUAGUGUAAGAGACUACCAGCGUCGUGGUAACACGGCGGCUUGGCAAGCCCCAUCCGGAGCAAGCGCGAAUAGGAGUGCUAUGGAUCUGCCCGAUCCGCACUCGGGUAGCGUGCGAGGAGCCAUGUGGUAACGCAUGGACAAGAUAAAUGAUCGUCCACGACAGAACCCGGCUUAUCGAUCCGCUUCGCUU